CCUACGGGGGGCAGCAGUGAGGAAUAUUGGUCAAUGGUCGGGAGCCUGAACCAGCCAAGUCGCGUGAGGGAGGAAGGUACAGAGUAUUGUAAACUUCUUUUGUCAGGGAAUAAAGUCAGGGACGUGUCCCUGUUUGUGUGUACUUUAUGAAUAAGCAUCGGCUAACUCCGUGCCAGCAGCCGCGGUAAUACGGAGGAUGCGAGCGUUAUCCGGAUUUAUUGGGUUUAAAGGGUGCGUAGGUGGUCUGUUAAGUCAGCGGUGAAAGUUUGGGGCUCAACCCCAAAAUUGCGGUUGAUACUGGCAGGCUCGAGUAGAGUUGAGGUAUGCGGAAUGCGCGGUGUAGCGGUGAAAUGCAUAGAUAUCACGCAGAACUCCGAUUGCGAAGGCAGCUUACCAAA
rnacentral:rRNA from 1 species